rnacentral:rRNA from 1 species
UACAGAGGGGGCGAGCGUUGUUCGGAAUUACUGGGCGUAAAGGGCGCGUAGGCGGCCCGCUAAGUCGAACGUGAAAUCCCCAGGCUCAACCUGGGAACUGCGUCCGAUACUGGCAGGCUUGAAUCCGGGAGGGGGAUGUGGAAUUCCAGGUGUAGCGGUGAAAUGCGUAGAUAUCUGGAGGAACACCGGUGGCGAAGGCGGCAUCCUGGACCGGUAUUGACGCUGAGGCGCGAAAGCUAGGGGAGCAAACGGG